rnacentral:lncRNA from 1 species
UAUGUAGUGCCAGAAAGAGUGGUGGUACUAUGUAAAACCACUCAACUCCCUGUUACAACCACCAUUGUAAAUAAGAGGGGGAGCAGUAUGGUCACAAAUUGGGAUUAAACUACUUGCAAGCAACUGAAGGCUAGACCUUCUAAGAUAGUAAAUGCAAACCAACCUACUGUUGGUAGACACCUAAAGGAUUCUGAUUAUCAUGUGAAUGGAAGACAUUCAUGACCUAGCUCAUUGGUGCACAAAGCUUCCAUUGCUCGUACCCAUAGAAACAAUAGACAUAAAUCCUAAACCCUAACAAACUUUCCUCUUUCUCC